UACGAAGGGUGCAAGCGUUACUCGGAAUUACUGGGCGUAAAGCGUGCGUAGGUGGUGAGUUAAGUCUGAUGUGAAAUCCCCGGGCUCAACCUGGGAAUGGCAUUGGAUACUGGCUCGCUGGAGUGCGGUAGAGGUGGUGGAAUUCCCGGUGUAGCAGUGAAAUGCGUAGAGAUCGGGAGGAACAUCUGUGGCGAAGGCGGCCACCUGGACCAGCACUGACACUGAGGCACGAAAGCGUGGGGAGCAAACAGGA
rnacentral:rRNA from 1 species